GCUAGGGUUUGUGGUCUGGUGUGGGGGUUCUAUUUAUAACCCCUUGCCUUUUGAUCUCAGCCGUCCAUUUUGUUUUAAUCUGGGCCGUCCGUUUUUUAUUAAAUCUGGGCCGUCCGUGCGUUUAAAUCUGGGCCGUCCGAUCGCGCCCACGCUGAUCGCCAACGUGGCCCUUUUUGGAACGACGUAGUUUUGCCACGUGGCAGGUCCCGGUUGGCCGGGCCUGCUGACGUGGCUUUUUUUUUCUUUCUCGGUCCGGGCGCUACACAACUCAUAUCU
rnacentral:lncRNA from 1 species